rnacentral:rRNA from 1 species
GACGAACGCUGGCGGCGUGCCUAAUACAUGCAAGUAGAACGCUGAAGGAGGAGCUUGCUCUUCUGGAUGAGUUGCGAACGGGUGAGUAACGCGUAGGUAACCUGCCUGGUAGUGGGGGAUAACUAUUGGAAACGAUAGCUAAUACCGCAUAAUAACAGUUGUUGCAUGACAACUGUUUGAAAGGUGCAAUUGCAUCACUACCAGAUGGACCUGCGUUGUAUUAGCUAGUUGGUGGGGUAACGGCUCACCAAGGCGACGAUACAUAGCCGACCUGAGAGGGUGAUCGGCCACACUGGGACUGAGACACGGCCCAGACUCCUACGGGAGGCAGCAGUAGGGAAUCUUCGGCAAUGGACGGAAGUCUGACCGAGCAACGCCGCGUGAGUGAAGAAGGUUUUCGGAUCGUAAAGCUCUGUUGUAAGAGAAGAACGAGUGUGAGAGUGGAAAGUUCACACUGUGACGGUAUCUACCAGAAAGGAC